CUGAGACACGGACCAGACUCCUACGGGAGGCAGCAGUAAGGAAUAUUGGUCAAUGGAGGGAACUCUGAACCAGCCAUGCCGCGUGCAGGAUGACUGCCCUAUGGGUUGUAAACUGCUUUUGUCCAGGAAUAAACCUAAGUACGUGUACUUAGCUGAAUGUACUGGAAGAAUAAGGAUCGGCUAACUCCGUGCCAGCAGCCGCGGUAAUACGGAGGAUCCGAGCGUUAUCCGGAUUUAUUGGGUUUAAAGGGUGCGUAGGCGGCUUUAUAAGUCAGGGGUGAAAGACGGCAGCUCAACUGUCGCAGUGCCUUUGAUACUGUAGAGCUUGAAUGUGGUUGAAGAUGGCGGAAUGAGACAAGUAGCGGUGAAAUGCAUAGAUAUGUCUCAGAACUCCGAUUGCGAAGGCAGCUGUCUAAGUCAUUAUUGACGCUGAUGCACGAAAGCGUGGGGAUCGAACAGGAUUAGAUACCCUGGUAGUCCACGCCCUAAACGAUGAUAACUCGAUGUUGGCGAUACACAGUCAGCGUCUUAGCGAAAGCGUUAAGUUAUCCACCUGGGGAGUACGCCCGCAAGGGUGAAACUCAAAGGAAUUGACGGGGGCCCGCACAAGCGGAGGAGCAUGUGGUUUAAUUCGAUGAUACGCGAGGAACCUUACCCGGGCUUGAAAGUUACUGAAUUAUCUAGAGAUAGAUAAGUCCUUCGGGACAGGAAACUAGGUGCUGCAUGGCUGUCGUCAGCUCGUGCCGUGAGGUGUUGGGUUAAGUCCCGCAACGAGCGCAACC
rnacentral:rRNA from 1 species